GGAGGUAUACCCAAGUCUGGCUGAAGGGACCGGUCUUGAAAACCGACAGGCGGGUCAAACCGCGCGGGGGUUCGAAUCCCUCUACCUCCUCCA
rnacentral:tRNA from 1 species